rnacentral:rRNA from 1 species
CAGUCGAGCGAAGCGAUUUAAAUGAGACUUCGGUGGAUUUUAAAUUGACUGAUCGGCGGACGGGUGAGUAACGCGUGGAUAACCUGCCUCACACAGGGGGAUAACAGUUAGAAAUGACUGCUAAUACCGCAUAAGCGCACGGUACCGCAUGGUACAGUGUGAAAAACUCCGGUGGUGUGAGAUGGAUCCGCGUCUGAUUAGGUAGUUGGUGAGGUAACGGCCCACCAAGCCGACGAUCAGUAGCCGACCUGAGAGGGUGACCGGCCACAUUGGGACUGAGACACGGCCCAAACUCCUACGGGAGGCAGCAGUGGGGAAUAUUGCACAAUGGGCGAAAGCCUGAUGCAGCAACGCCGCGUGAGUGAAGAAGUAUCUCGGUAUGUAAAGCUCUAUCAGCAGGGAAGAAAAUGACGGUACCUGACUAAGAAGCCCCGGCUAACUACGUGCCAGCAGCCGCGGUAAUACGUAGGGGGCAAGCGUUAUCCGGAUUUACUGGGUGUAAAGGGAGCGCAGACGGCACUGCAAGUCUGAAGUGAAAGCCCGGGGCUCAACCCCGGGACUGCUUUGGAAACUGUAGAGCUAGAGUGCUGGAGAGGCAAGCGGAAUUCCUAGUGUAGCGGUGAAAUGCGUAGAUAUUAGGAAGAACACCAGUGGCGAAGGCGGCUUGCUGGACAGUAACUGACGUUCAGGCUCGAAAGCGUGGGGAGCAAACAGGAUUAGAUACCCUGGUAGUCCACGCC